rnacentral:lncRNA from 1 species
CUUGGCCGGGCAGUCCUCCUCUCCCUGCGAUGCUGCAGGAGAUCCAGCUCUGUUAGCUCUAGACUCUGGAAAAGAGUGGAAGGAUCCAGGAGCCUGGGGGCGUUGUCAUGUGUCGUCGCGAGUGCCGCUCGGAGCCCGCGGGCCCUCCGCCUUCCUGGGCUUCCCAGCCCGGGGCCGCGCGCGGGGACGGCACCUCCACCCCGGCCACGGGGACGCCCUCACCUCCGGGUCGUGUCCCUUGGCUUUCUGCACUCGGGGCGGGCGCCCUCUCCCAGCCCCUGCACCUGGGACCCCGGGGCGCAGAGCUCGCGCCGUCGCCGGAGGCAGCUCCUGGGCCGACCUCCGCGGGCCCCCUCCCGCCCUCGGGGCGUCGGACCCCCGACCCCGCGACCUCCGGGGCGCGCAGCUCGCUCCGGCCGGGCCCCCGCCUCCCCGGGACGCCUCUCUCCGUCGGGGCCGCAGGGGCGCGUCGGCCGCAGGGUGGGAGCGGGACCUCCGGCCGCCCUGCCCGAGGGGCCCGCGGCUUCCCCGCCGCCCCGCCCCGCCCCGCCGCCCAAGGGCCCCCCGGGGCUGCCGCGCGAGCCCGCCGUUCGAGGGCUUUGCCGGGCGCGGUUGGCGUUUGACGGGCUCGGGUGCCAACGAGGGAGGCGUGCGGACGGCGGAGUAAGUGCCCCCGGACGCCCCGGAGCAGCCGCCAAGGGCUGGAGCCCACCCCGCGGGCCGGCGAGGCGGGCGCGCGCCCCUCGGGGCCCUCGGCACGUGCGGCUCCCACCCCCGCGCCUGGGGCGAGUUCUGCGGUCCCCGGGACACGUUGGUCGCCUGACUCUCCCCGGACAGUCCGCGGCGGAAAUUGGCUCCAGAAGUGGUGUGGGCUUCAUUGGAGGGGAAGGAUUCCCUCCCGCCCUCCGCUCGCCCCCAGCAGCGCGGGCCCCGGGUGCUGGCGGGGGGGCGGGGGCGCGGAGAGGGGGAGAGGCAGGCCUGCGUGGGUUCCCAGGAGCCGCAGGAGGCUUCCGACGCCCGCGGUGCCCGCAGAGGGCUUCUGGCGAGGGCGAGGGCGAGGGCGCGGGGGAAAGGCCGCUCGGCUUCCGCGUGCUCCCUAAGAGGCAGCGCGCCUCCGGGAGGGCCUCUCCGCCCGGGCGGCCAGACCUGGGAUCCAGGGAGCCCGGUGACGGAUGCUGCAGCCGCGGGGCUCGGGCGGCCCGGCCCGGGCACCCAGCCCCCUCCGCCCGGGGCGGUCGGGCCUAG